rnacentral:rRNA from 1 species
GUCUACGACCAUGCCACCCCGAAUAAGCCUGAUCCUGUCUGAUCUCAGAAGCUAAACAAGGUCAGGCCUCGUUAGUACUUGGAUGGGAGGCCACCUAGGAAGACCAAGUGCUGUAAACG